rnacentral:lncRNA from 1 species
UUUACAAUUGGCCAAAACUGAAGUCUGCAUUGACUGAAAUGAAGCCAUUUGCAAAGCUAAUGAUGUUGUGAAGCAUGUCUAUGGUGAACCAUAUCAGCUAGAUUUCAGAAAGGUAGUUCAAUGAGUGCAGCAUUAAAAUGAGGGACAGCCUCCAGCAAAAUCAUAAUUGAACACACCCAAGUCCUUAAUGUCUGCAGUUGGGUUUCCUGAUGCAAAUUACGAUAACAUUUCAGAUGUGAGCAGUCGCUUUCCAAUAGCUGCAGUGGAAAAGAGACAUUUUAUGCCACAAAGGAAAGAAUUACCAUGUUUAAAAAUGUAAAUAAUAUAUGUAUAGAAACCUUUUUUAUGGAAAUGAGGCAUUCAGGAUUAUGUGAACAGUUUGGGCUAUUUUUUUUUUCCUUUUAAACACAACAGAUAAAGAUGAGUGAUCUAUUAUUCAGGGCUUUAAUUACAGUUCUAAAACUGCAGUGAUUUUAUUAAAAAAAAAAAAAAAAUAUCCCUGGGCAUAAAAAGUGAUGUUUUCUAUGGUAAAGUUGAGGGAUUUUUUUUGUUUUUUUGUUUUUACAAUAUAUUUACCUUGGUAAAAAUACAGAAAUAAAAACCACCAUUACAAGAAUCAUAGAUUUCAAUGCUGCAAAAUCAUACACAGAAAUACAUCUUAAACGCAUUGGAAUGCAGUCAUCUUCCUGUAUCAGAAAAGGCCUUAGAUAAAUAGGUUUGACCUGAUUUAAAUUUAAUGAGAUACAUAGUCCUGAUUGUUAAUAAUUGGUUUGGGGGAACCCAAAACAAUAAAAGCAGUAAUCUCCUCUAGUAUAAAUUAUACGAAUUUAUUUAGCAAUCAUCAACCAAAGGAGGAAAAAAAAAAUGCCAUUAACAUUAUCAAUUUGUUUAGUUUAAGUUAGUUAUAAUAAGCAAAUAAUUUGAAGCAAUAUUGCCAGCCUGGCUUUGAGAAAGACAGGGAAUAUUGGGAAGAUGCAUCUCUGUGCUGAUGCUUCGGGGCCACUAGGUGGUAGGGUCCUCCCAGCAGAAAGGGUUCUGCCAUUGCAGGGACCAUUCGUAAUCAUCAAACCCAAGUGAAACAUGGUUUUGAUUAAAACAGCCUGUUGGCUCAAUAAUCUUAGUAAUUUUAAAAACAUCCUUAAUGUGGAAGAAGAACACUGCAAUGUCAGAAAUGGCCUUGGGGCCCAUUAUGAACAGCAACAAAAUAAAUAAGGAGGAGAAAUGAGAGGUCAUGAAGACAAAAUUAAGCUAAUGUUUCAAAGUUUGACAAUUAUGAAUUGUUCCUCCAAGAAGAUAUUAAAAAAAAUAAUAAUUCAGGCACUAUUAGAUAAAAUACAAAGAGAAUAAUUGUACAUGUAUGAGUUUUCCCAUGGGACUAGCAUGCUUUAAAAGCAAAACUUGACUUAGAUUUCCCCUCUUCCCCCCGCCCCCCUUUAUAGCCAGCAAUUGGGCAGGUCUCAUGCAAACACAGACUUGCAUUUCAGAGUUCCUCCAAAAACUCAUCUCUAAUUCCUUUAUGAGCCAUUAAAAGAUGAUGACCAAGAAAACAAACAAACAGAAAUUACAAGCAUAUUUUCUAUUAAAAAAAAAAAGUAUUUCCCGUCAUGAACCAAUUUUUGUAGGAAACCGAAACAAGCAAAUAUAACAAAAUCUGUGUUCAGAACAUGGCAAUAGAGUUAAUAUAUACAAAUAUGUACAGUAUAAAAAUGCAUCAAAGGCGCGACUUUUCAUCCAAACAAGCUGCAGUACACAAUGAAAAGCAGCUUGCCCCCCCCCUCACUCUAAGUAUACAGGCAAUAUAUUCUAUACAGCAUGCACUUGUUACAA